rnacentral:tRNA from 1 species
UACAUUUUAGUAUAGGAGGUACGGAAAUUUUUGAAGUUUUCGGGAGUGGUUUAAUUCCACUAAAUGUAA